CGGAGGGUGCAAGCGUUGCUCGGAAUUAUUGGGCGUAAAGGGUAGGUAGGUGGUCUCAUUUGUCUGGGGUGAAAGCCUUGAGCUUAACUCAAGAAGUGCCCCGGAAACGGUGAGACUGGAGUCCUGGAGAGGGUCGUGGAAUUCCCGGUGUAGCGGUGAAAUGCGUAGAGAUCGGGAGGAACACCAGAGGCGAAAGCGGCGACCUGGACAGGUACUGACACUCAACUACGAAAGCGUGGGGAGCAAACAGGAUUAGAUACCCUGGUAGUCCACGCUGUAAACGAUGGGUACUAGGUUUGGUGGGUCUUGACCCCCGCCGAACCGGCGCUAACGCACUAAGUACCCCGCCUGGGAAGUACGGUCGCAAGACUA
rnacentral:rRNA from 1 species